CUUGUUCAAUCAACGAAGCGCAGUAUGUGAAUAGAGUCUAACAUUGUUGGACUAACAAAACUAUUUCAACAAAGCGAAUGCUAGAACUUUCCUUCCUACAGCUUGUUCCUCAUAUCGAGUAAUCCGAGUUGUUUCAGUCGUCCCAAGAACGCAAACCACUAUGUCAGAGCUCUUUCCAGACAACUGAAAGGACUCAUUAAUAUGAGAAGCAGCGUUAAAGAUUGCGUUCUACAGGCUAACUGCUACCAAAAGUAAUUAUAAUAGUUCUAAAUAUUACUGUAGAUCCUGUGAGUAACAUCUCGUACUGGUUAAAGGUUACCUUAUGAAAAAGCAAAAGACUUCA